CAACCCAUUCUCACUCCAAAGGCGUCAAAAACCGAAGCAUGGUCAAGCGCCCCUAGCGUCACUUUUAUGACGCCAAAUGUGCCUCUCGGCGUCGAAUAUCGAAGCACUACGACCUUCAUUGCUUUCAGUGGGAAACUUUUGGCGUCAGAAUUCGACACGACGAGGACAUGAGAUGUUUAUCGCUAUGAAAUCACGUUCAAGAAGUCUCAUUCAGCACACAUCGCGAUACUUGCUAUCAGUUCCACAGUUUGGCUGAAAAGACGUAAAGGAAGCCCAGUGGUGUUUCUGGAGAGGGAUUCCUUCAGAAAUGGAGAAGACAGAAAGCUGCGGAGGCAGAUAUAUGCAGCAGUCUAAAAUAUCAAGCUCAACAGCUCACUCAAGAGCCAACCCUCACAAACCUUCCUAAAAACUAAAAGAGCUAUUACUGAGUCUCAGCGAAUCUUGCCAUGAUCAGCUCUUCCCAGAAGAGAAGGAAGACCAAGGAAAUGAUUUGCUCAGGAUGAGGAAUGAAGAUGGUCAUCUUGUGCUCAAACAAACAGAAGUCCUCUGAUGAUCUCAUCAGCCAAAUGAGGGGUUUUGACCAAGUGAUGCUCUUGAAAGGAGUGAAAGAAGAGGAUGUGGUAAAUUGUCUUCAGAGAAAAAGCUUCUCAAAAGGUCUCAAAACAGCUUGAAGAAUGGUCUGGGAUGUUAGGACUGAGAGAUCCUAUGGCUGAGAGAAGCUACACCACAUCAGUGCUGGAUAUCAACCACAAACUGUUUCCAGACACGAGAGAAGAAGAACACGAUGGGGAGAUGAGACCAGUUUAGAUGUGAUGAUGGGAAUCAUUAUUUUCUGGAACAGUAUCAAAUGUCUUAUAUGUAUCACAUGAUCUGUAUCACAGUUGACUGGAUGGGACUGUGUGACUUUUAAGGACAUUUCAUCACUCAUCUGUGAGAACUGAUUUAUA